UUUUCUCCUAUUGUGAGAAUCUUUCUCACCUAAGUGUGAGUGAUGAUCUUCUCGUUAAAUCAGCGUUAUUGCCGGCCCUAGUUGUGGCUAGGGUCGGUGGUAGUCCCAUGUUUUUUUCUUUCUUUUUCUUUUCUUUUUGCUCUCCCUGUUGUCUACACUUUCCACCAUCCCUGCAAAUCACGAUUUCCUCAUUCGAAGUCAUUCCUUGCUUUUGAUCAAACCAUCUCGAACUCCAAUACCCAAUCAUCCACUCGCUCAAUCUGCUUCGAUUCAUCCCCUUCCAUUCUCUUCCAUCCACCUCCCUUAAUCUUUUUCAUCAAUUGGAUCCUUCAUCUCUCUGACCAUCCCAAAUUCUGAUCAAUUUCCACAUGUUUUCAACGCGAUAUGUCACGGAUCUACGGAAGGGUGUGUAGAGUUUCGGCUCAGGAGUUCGCACCACCACCUUUGUUGGCCCUUGUUGGUCUUUCCCAAUGUUCGCCCUUGGUGGCAAUGUUGCUUGCUCCCUCGCGGGCUUCCUUAACUUCGUGGAGACAUUUGGUAUGGUGGUCCCUGGAGAUUGAGGAAGCCUUCUUCUUCAUCAAUUUUUGGGUUCUUGCAGGCAGGAUCUUUGGCGACGGUGAUAAGCGACGAAUUGUGGAGAUCGUUAUUUGGUUUUCUAGUGGCGGUUGUUGCAGGCGCAUGAGAAGCAACAGACCUUGUCCUCUAUGUUGUGUUGGCCUUUUUUUGUGUUAAGCUUGUAUUUAGACCUUUGUUUGUACUUAUUGUAGGUUGGUAAUGAAAUUUACCUGUUUUAUCAAAGAAAAAAAUAAGGGUAAAUUACACUUUCAUACCUCAGGUUUGGGGUCUAUUUCAAUUCCUUACAACAUCUUCAAAACAUUUCACUUUCAUACCUCAAGUACUAUUUUAUUUCAAAAUAAUACAUCCGUUACAUUUUUCAUCCAUUGAUCCGUUAAGUGCUGACGUAACUGUCAACAUGGCACACCACGUGGCAAAAAUAAUAAUUUUUUAAUUAAAAAAAACACCUGAAAAAAGAAUUAAAAAAAAAACAACUGAAACCUAGCUCCCCCGCAAACAAACCUAGAAACCUUAAACCCCCAUCCCC
rnacentral:lncRNA from 1 species